rnacentral:rRNA from 1 species
AUUGAACGCUGGCGGCAUGCUUUACACAUGCAAGUCGAACGGCAGCGCGGGCUUCGGCCUGGCGGCGAGUGGCGAACGGGUGAGUAAUACAUCGGAACGUGCCCAGUAGUGGGGGAUAGCUCGGCGAAAGCCGGAUUAAUACCGCAUACGACCUGAGGGUGAAAGCGGGGGAUCUUCGGACCUCGCGCUAUUGGAGCGGCCGAUGGCAGAUUAGCUAGUUGGUGGGGUAAAGGCCUACCAAGGCGACGAUCUGUAGCUGGUCUGAGAGGACGACCAGCCACACUGGGACUGAGCCACGGCCCAGACUCCUACGGGAGGCAGCAGUGGGGAAUUUUGGACAAUGGGCGAAAGCCUGAUCCAGCAAUGCCGCGUGUGUGAUGAAGGCCUUCGGGUUGUAAAGCACUUUUGGCGGGAACGAAAAGGACUGUGCCAAUACCACGGUUCGAUGACGGUACCCGCAGAAUAAGCACCGGCUAACUACGU